rnacentral:rRNA from 1 species
UACGGGGGGAGCAAGCGUUGUUCGGAUUUACUGGGCGUAAAGGGCGCGUAGGCGGCCAGCACAAGUCAGUUGUGAAAUCUCCGAGCUUAACUCGGAAAGGUCAACUGAUACUGUGCGGCUAGAGUGCGGAAGGGGCAACUGGAAUUCUUGGUGUAGCGGUGAAAUGCGUAGAUAUCAAGAGGAACACCUGCGGCGAAGGCGGGUUGCUGGGCCAACACUGACGCUGAGGCGCGAAAGCCAGGGGAGCAAACGGG